rfam:Populus trichocarpa isolate Nisqually-1 chromosome 5, whole genome shotgun sequence.
UAAAGAUCAUUCAUAUAAUUCUUAUUUAAUUAUAAUAAACCAACACUUAACGGUUAAGAAUCACUCCUUAUCACAACCUCAAGUGUAUCAGUACAGCUGCGUUCCUUU